rnacentral:rRNA from 1 species
UACGGGGGGGGGCAAGCGUUGUUCGGAAUUAUUGGGCGUAAAGAGCUCGUAGGCGGUUUGUUGCGUCGGCUGUGAAAACCUGAGGCUCAACCUCAGGCCUGCAGUCGAUACGAGCAGACUAGAGUGUUGCAGGGGAGACUGGAAUUCCUGGUGUAGCGGUGGAAUGCGCAGAUAUCAGGAGGAACACCGAUGGCGAAGGCAGGUCUCUGGGCCACUACUGACGCUGAGAAGCGAAAGCAUGGGGAGCGAACAGG